UACGUAGGUGGCAAGCGUUGUCCGGAUUUAUUGGGUUUAAAGGGUGCGUAGGCGGCUUUGUAAGUCAGUGGUGAAAUAUGGCAGCUCAACUGUCAAGGUGCCAUUGAUACUGCGGAGCUUGAGUACAGAUGAGGUAGGCGGAAUUGAUGGUGUAGCGGUGAAAUGCUUAGAUAUCGUCAAGAACACCGAUAGCGAAGGCAGCUUACUAGGCUGUAACUGACGCUGAGGCACGAAAGUGUGGGGAUCAAACAGG
rnacentral:rRNA from 1 species